AAUAAUAAUAAUACAAUACAUGUAUAUAUAUAGGCAGCCACUCAGGCUGGCCACAAUUGGGCCAGACCUGAGUGGCCCAACCGAUUUCCUCCUCUAAAUCCAUACACAACCCAAGCCCAAAUGACCAACUUGAUCCAGGUCCACAUCCACUAAACUAAACGACACCGUUUAGGACCCCUCCCAUCACAACCGUUGAUCUCCACAUCAUCCAACGGCCACAAAAGCCUAUUUCAUAUUGUAUACAUAUGUCCAGACACCUUUACAUACACGACCAAAUUUUACCUUCCUCGUACCCUUCAUCGUCGACCUAACAACACCCAUUGACCACCUUGUCACCGCCUUUGACCACCGGCCUACCACACUACUGCCGCCGCCGGAAAUCGCCUCACGGCACCGACCGGCAACCAAACUACCCCAAAUUAACACCACUUAACUAGCGUGACCUCCUCUACCCCGUCCCAUGACCAGUUUCCCUCGAAUACAACCCCUCCAUCUCGAAUAUCCCCUUAAAAGUGGACGGAAACCCUAUCUCUGACGACCUCAUUCCAAAGCUGUCCAAAACUACACCACUAAGGCACCUCUUCCUCCCCGUUCCAACCAUGUAUAUUACCCCUCUCAAAUCAGUCUGAAACCCCUAGAAUACUAAUCCAAAGGCCAACCCUAAAUUCCAAAACACGCCAGAAAAACCUCAAAGCCUCCUAGACAAUCCCUGAUCCCCCUUGACAUCAUUCAUACAACCAUUGACCCCCAAACACCCUCAACCACUAAGCAAAUUCAAAUCUGAGACCUAUUUGAGGUCUCAGAAUCUUGGAAACUCCCCUGAGUUCUCAAAACUGAUGGUACACCACCUUAGAGGGUUCAGAACCCCUGUGGGAGAAUCAAGGUCCAGCUGGGAUGGUUUAAAUGAGAACAAAAAUGAAAGCUAAGUUUUUAUUGCCUAUUUUCCAUUUCUUUAGCUUUGAAGGCUUGAUUUCUAUUAAUGACGGAUUAGGUUCAGUAAUUACAUGUUUAAAAGUUCGGAUUUCUUUCAUUUUUUAAUUUUGGUUGUUUGUGAUUAUUUUCAGUAAUUACAUGUUUAAAAGUUUGGAUUUCUUUCAUUUUUUUAUUUUGGUUGUUUGUCUGUUUAUCCACAAGUUCAUUUAAGAUUAGGAUUCAAUGUUCAUAUGUUUGUUUGUUUGUCACUAGCCUGGAAAUCUCCUCGUCUCUGAAAUAGUUCAAACAUCCUGUUAAAAAUAGCUUUUGAGUAGUAUGAUCCUCAUAAUUUGAUGAAUUUUAUUGUUUCGCUGAUUGUUCUGAUUAGUUUGAUUAUUUGAUUGUGCUACUGAAUGCCUGAGAUUUAUUUCAUGCUAGUUUUGGUCCUCAGUGCUGAUAAAUGUAUUCACUUUUCUGGUCUUUUGUGUGUUAAUCCUAUAUAAUGCUUGAAGAAGUCUGUUAAUUUUGGCUAAGGGAACUUUCAAGAGCUUAUUAGUGACCCAAGCCGAUUGACCAAGGUCUGAAGAAUUCGGUUAAUUUUGGCUAAGGGAACUUUGAGGAGCUUAUUAGUGACCCAAGCUGAUUAACCAAGGUCAAUUGUGACUGAAUUAGGAUCAAAGAACUAACCAAGGUCAAAUUCAGGGGUAGGUAAUUAGGAAAGCUAGUGAGGGUAUAAGAGGGAUUUGAAUUUGAAAAAAUCUGAUAAGAACCUUUUGGAACUUUCUAGCAGGGACUAAUACAUAAUUCCAGCUUUAUACUUGAGGCACAAGUUAGAAAUUGAAGGACUACUUAGGAAAAAAUACAAUUUGAGUUGAGGACUAAAAAGAAAACAAAGUAAAAUCCGAUGCCUUAACAAUUUUACUAUAAAAUGAACCAUUUGGGGCAUCGGAUUGGGAUCCGGAGCUUUUAUCUUCAAUACUAGAGCUAAAAUACUCAUUUUAUAUCUGAAAAUACUAUCAGUGCUGAAUUUGAUCACUUUGAGUCUAUUUUUCUCACAAUUCUGUUGAAGUUCUAGGUACACUGUGCAAUUGGUUGUUUAUUUGUCUAGCUGUUCUCUUAUAUUACUCAUAGGCUUGUUUUUUCUUAAAGCAUUACAGGUAUAUUCGAAGCUCAUAUAUGAUUUGUUAAGCUGGUCUCUUCUUAUUACUCAUAGGCUUGCUUUCUCUCGCUACAUUACAUGUAUAUUCAAAGCUCAUAUAUAUACGAAGUUCAAGUGUGAAAUAUAUUCUCAAGUAUGAAGACCCUCACAUGUUAUUUGUUUUUUGUGUCAUACCCCCAUUUUCCCCUUUACUUAGUCUGAACAUAGGAGUAUUAGUAAGUUGAUCCUGAUGUUAUAGUUAAUAUUAGAUUGAUACGUUUGUAAUAAUUUGGACAUUUGGGACUAUUUUAUGUGUAAUAAUUGGACAUUCAGCUCAAAUAUUUGAAUAAGUAAUAAUCAAUUCCAAUUCUUGCCUAGUGGGUUCAAGUGCUGAUCCUGUGCACUUAGAGCUAUUGGAUUCAGGAGGCAGCAGUCCUGAUAAUCAUGUAAAACAAAUCAAAAAUAUUGUGAAACGUUUUAGUUCAUUUGAGUCUCAGCAUGUUAAAUAAUAAGUUAUUUUCAGAUUUGUCCCUGUAGUAUAACUUGAAUCACAACUGAAUUUUUGAAAUUAGACUUACAUACUGUGACUGAUGAGUAUGUGAAUCAUCUGAUUCAAAUCUAUUGUUAGAAAUUGAUACAAAAAUGGUUGUUAAUAUUUCCUUCAUGAAUGAGGAGCGAUUCGAUUUUAGGUACAUAAUUUCAGACCAAAUUAUUGUUAGCAAUGGGACUCUUUCGUUCCGAUCAGUGAUGGAUUCAUUAGCGAGGCCCAGUAAUGCACCAGAAUUUUCUAGUCCAAUAUGUUUUUUUGGGCUGAGUGUUUUAAAAUCCAAAACAGCCACAAUACUUAUUAAUCAAUACUGCAUGAAAAAUGUGUGCUCCUGGGAUGGCCCAACAUCAAUUUAUUACGUGGUAAUUGGCCAUGAACGAGGCUAAGGCCAUGUAGUGUUUCCUGAGUACACAAGUUUAUAAAUAAAACAGUUAGUGUAUUUAAGCACCCGUAAGCGUAGAAAAUUUAGUAUGGAUUAGGAUGUCCUCAUAAAAAUAAAGUGGGCUGCGUUAAUUCAAACAAAUAUUAUACGGUGGCUCCUUAAUUCAUUAAUACACAUAGAAAAUAGGAAGUGCCGUUUAGCAAAUUUUACGGCCUUUCCCAUAAAUAUCAACGACGUGGUUGCUAUAGGCGCGCAUGCUUAAUAAAAACACCUUCCUAAAUUCGGGUGCGCAUUUAUGUGACCCAAAUCCUAUUCCCAAUGAAAUUGAAAUAUGUGUAAAAUCGCGGGUGCAUUUAUGUGAUGCGAUUCGCGACGUGUUUUAAUAACAUUUCAAAUUUUCCUAAAAGAUGUUAAAAGCGGUUAAUAAUUUAAAAUUACGAGUUAACAGGUGUAGUAAAUAAUAUUUAGCCACUUAUAAUGAGUUUAGGUGAUCGUGCUAGAACCACGGGAUCCGAGGGUGCCUAACACCUUCCCUCGGGUCAAUAGAAUUCCUUNNNNNNNNNNNNNNNNNNNNNNNNNNNNNNNNNNNNNNNNNNNNNNNNNGUGCCUAACACCUUCCCUCGGGUUAAUAGAAUUCCUUACUCAUGAAUUUCUGGUUCGCAAACUCCAAUUGGGCAGUCGAAAUUUCGUCGAUUUGGGAUUUUAAACAAACCGGUGACAUGGGACACCAAAAUCCAAGCCUAUCCCAAGUGGCGGCUCUUGAAGUAAACAAUUAAUCACAUUUCGAAUAAUGUCACUUUAAUUGAAAAAACUCCUAUACACGUGUCGCCUUUCGGGGCAACCACGUGUAAGGGGUAAAAAGGAGGUGUGAAAGCUUUGGCGACUCUGCUGGGGAACGAACCUAGAAUCUUCGAUUCAGGGUUCAAGAAUUCGAGCUUUCAAUAACUGCUAUAUUUGGCUUCUUUUGAUUUGCUUACCUGUUCUAUGCUAAAUGCCGCAUGCUUUACCUCUUUGAUAUUACUGAACUGUAUAUAUAAACUGUACGAAACCCUUCACUUCUCACCUCCGGGGAUGUGCUUACUGGUUGAGACUCCCUAUUCUGUUAGUGUCUUACCCUGAAUUAAAAAGAGGCCAGACAAGUUACAAAGCCGGAUGAUCUCACGGGUCUCCGGUAUGGAUCCCCCUCCUCGACUCGAGCUGUCCACUCAGGUGCACAGCCUAGACCCUAUACCGAGGUUCUCAACUUAGUAUAACAAAACUUCAUGCCGGAUCCCUAGUAGGAACGUUUAUUUGCAUCAUGCAUUUUGACUUAGGGGACUCAACACAGGGGUUUGGUUCAUCUCGGACAGGUGCCCUGAAAUAAAAGUCCAUCCUGAUGCAUUUUUACGUGCUACUUGCACAUUUACUUGCCCUGGAUUCGCAUGUUGACCGGCCUGUAAACGAAUAAAAAGAUUGAGAGAAAAUAAGAAGUGCUAGGGUAGUUGCUUUUAUAAACCAAUGCUCAAAUAGCGCCGAAACGUUGCAGGAUUUUUCAAAAAAAAGAGAAAAAAAACAAAAAGGAAAACAAAGCACAAAAGGCAAAAAAUACAAAAAAAGAGGCAUCAAGCUUUUGAAGUUUUUCAAUAAUGUCUGCGGGUUUGAUACAUUGCUUUGGCUGGGUCCAACCCCGUUUUUCAAAAAAUGUCAAGAAAUGUUCAAGUUUAUUUUCCUACUUCGAAAUGAGUCCGAUGGUGCCACUAUUGCGAUAAUAGCUGAACGACGCUACAGGGACACCAGAAGGCUGAUCUUACGCAAAUGGCUGCCGUCGAAUUUUAUUCGUGUCAGUAAGAAAUCAUAGCCUAAAAACCUUCUAGCCGAAGUGUUGAAAGGCCGUAUUCGCAAAGCCGGUCCCUGUUAUAAAAUUCAGUUUUAUGUUUUGAGAAUACUAAUUCACCCUAAUAAAUGUGCAGAAUGAGCCCGAUAAUCAACAAAAUUCCUUUGGAGCUGUGGCUAUGCCAUUUUAAAAUAAAUUUCGUAAAUGCCAAUUUUUAUUUUGUGAGAAUACUAAACAGCCCUAAUAAAUGUGCAGAAUGAGCACAAUAAUGAACAAAAUUUCUUUGGAGCUGCGGCUAUGGUGGGAUGACCUCGGAGAAGCCGGACAGAAAAAGGUCAACGCGCAUCCGGGGGGCCUCACUAGUUUGCUAAUAAUCAACCCUAGGGGGGACAUCAUAAAAGCCUAAUCACCUUCUAAGACCCUGCCUACAACGUCUUCCACUUCUCAGAUUUUUAGCUGACCCAGACUUUGGAAGAAAAAUGACCGGAUACAUCUGGACCCACACAAUCCCGCUAAGACAUCAAUACUUGAUAGCACCCAAGGCCCUUGCUGUGCACAAAUUUCUGGAUGUUUUGAAAAUCAUCAGAAAAAUUCAUAACCCUCACCUGUCGGCUAGAUUUUGCACCCCUCAGUUUAUACACCAAAUAUACAGCCACAUCGGAGGGUUCAACAACCCUGAAAUCCUCAUCUGUAGCAAGGGCAAUCAGAUAAAAUGGGAGGAGCACCGAUGCUUUGCGUUAUGGUAUCCUUUUUGGGUCUUUUAGUAUUCCCCCGAAAGGACCGAAACAUCAACAUACGAAUUGCGAGGGUUAUUAGUACAUUGAUGACUCAGGCAAAGAGCACUCUUGCUCCGAUGAUCUUGUCUGAUAUCUUCCGAGCCUUUACCAUUUGCAAAGCAGAAGGGAUUUCUUUGAAGGCUGUAACUUGCUAUUACAAAUCUGGAUGAUUGGCAAUCUAUGUCCCAGGCCUUGAUUCAUGAAUGUGGGUUGCCAACAGAAGGUUUCAUAGAAGAAGUGGAACAAAGGGUAAAUGGUUUUAAAUUACUGGAGGGUGUCGUAGAGUGGGUAUCACAUCUCCGGUCUAUUUCAGCAAGCCAAAUACAAUGGACGUUCAGUUGGCUCUCCGUGGAUGAAGUUGUACAUAUGCCCGCAAUAGAACCACACUUUCUCUUGAUGGGCCUAAGAAGCGUCCAACCUUACGCCCCGCAUCGGGUCUUGAUGCAACUCGGAAGAUGCCAAAUAGUGCAAAAAGAAGAAGAUCUUAGCAUCCGGGUAGUCGAAAUUGGGACAAGUAGUCAGUUCCCCGAAGCAAUGGUUCACAAAAUCUGGAAUGAAUGCCAAUACCUAACCGCUGACACUUGUGUACAAGAUCCUGCCAGAGGUGAAGUAUCCCCGGGGUACCUUGCUUGGUAUAAGAGGAAAUUAAGCACGAAAGACCAUCCAAAAGGCCUCACCUUCGAGAGUUCGCCGGUACAUCACAAGAACAGUGGGAUUGGUUAGCAAAAGAACAUGAAUAUCGUGCUACCAUUGGAAGGCUAGAAAAGAAACUUCAGGAAUUACAAUUCGAAAACAGCCUGCAAACUGCUGCUAGCGAAGGAGAAAAGAAGGUAUUGGUUACAGAAAACGAAGCCCUGCGAGCUGAGAUUCAGAAGAUGAAAACAGCCGCAGAAAACCCCCCAAGAAGUAUAAAGGAUGAAAAUCUCAUAGAGAACCUGCGACGAAAGGUAACCGAUACAGUUUUGACCUAAUUAAGGUAGAAGGUGAAUUGUCUAGAGCCCGGAGACAAUUAGCUAAAGUGCUGAAGAAAGGGCCCGCAUAUUGGAACAGUUAAAAUAAGGGAGCGGCAAUGAAAAUGUUGGUCUAAAACAGAGGGUUAUAAUAGCUGAAAACACAAUAGCCAAGCAGGAUAAGGAUUUCAAAGCUGAGAGAGAGCACUACUAUGCGGUAAUAGCAGGGUUGGAAAGAGAUUUGAAGCAAUUUCAAAACCUAAAUCAGGCAGCUGAGCGGACUUUAGAAGCACUGGCAGAACAAAUAGGGUGCCUGCUACAAGAGAAAGGGAUAAUCAGGGAGAAGGUUCGGGCAAUUGCAGACUAUAUUACCACUGAAUGCAGUCACUGCGAAGACAUGAUAAAAUGCAAUUUUUCUCUACUGCUAUGACUUUCAUCCGGCAAGUAAUGGAAGAUCUUCACUAUCUUCAAGAAAGUCUAGCACGGAAACCCGCAAUAAGGCCGAAUGAUGCCCCGCAAGCUCCAAAGGCAUUUGAAGCAUUGAUGUACUCAUAGACUUGUGUUUUCUAAAAAAAAAAGUCUGAUUGUUGUCUUUUUCGAGUCUGUAAGGGUAUUAAGUCCAUGUAUGGUAGUUGCUUUUAACCAAUGUAAUCAAGUUUGUAUCUUUAUCAAAUUGGAAAUCCCAAAAAUAUUUGUGUUUCGUUCCUAACCUUUUAUUUCCAUGAACUACGCUCGGUCUGAUUCAUGCAAAGUCAUGAUACGUAGGCAAUCUCUAUAGGAUUCGACCGUAUUCUUUAAAACAGGAAUAAUAAAAACAAAAAAGGGGGAGGAAAGAGAGGAAAAUAAAAUGGAGGAAACAAAAGGAAAUUGAAAUAAAAGCCGGGAUGACACAUGCAACUGGGGCAAGCAUAUAGAAAUCCCAUUAUCUACAUAGGUGCAUCAUGAUGAAUGUGUGAUUUCCUGUUUAUCAUCUAUCCUGAAACUAACUUCGUUUUCUAGCAUUACAGUUCAGGUGUUUAGAACAGUGGUCGGUUUUGCGGUAUACUGGCGUCACGCGGAUACUUCACUUGUUCAAAAGGAAAUACAGAAAUGUCAACUGAGAUGACUGAAUUCACCCUCCCUAUUCCAAAAGACAGUCCAAUCACGGGAGUACCGGCUUCUGAAUCUGUAGCGGCCGAAGAAAAUAGGAUCUUGCGGCUCCGGGUCAUGGAAAUGUGGGACGCAUGGACCAAUGGAAAGGAACCUCCCAUCGCCAUCCCUGGAUUUCCCGAGCUAUUUCCACGGUCGGGGGGCACCUCUGCUAUUCCUAUUAGUCACCCGAGCAUUCUCUUGGUGCAGCCCACUAUUUCUACCAAUUUUGUUGGGGCACCCUCUGACUCCCACCCUCCAAUGUUUGCAUCUGGGCCAGUUCCCAAUAUCUUUACAACCCCUCCGUGCGCAACUACAACACAACCCGCAGUGCCAAGGCCUGUGUUUGAUCCCGCAGCCUUUACUUCCAAACUCCAAAUUACCAGAAUGAUCCUCCCCCGUACCCUACAUAUAGCUACCCUCAGCCAACAUAUGAACUUACCCCUUUGCCGGACAAAACUUCCAAAGCACCCGAGCAGGAUGAGAUCACAAGGAGAAUGAGGAGUCUUGAGCAAAGCCUGAAGAAUAUGCAAGGACUGAGCGGACAGAAAAGUGUAGCCUACUUAGACUUGUGCAUGUUUCCCCAUAUCCAUCUUCCUUUGGGGUUUAAAGUGCCAAAAUUUGAGAAAUACGAUGGCCAUGGAAACCGUAUCGCCCAUCUAAAAAAAAUAUUGUAAUCAAUUAUGUGGAGCAUGCGGAAAGGGAUAGCUCCUGAUGACAUAAUUUGGGGAAAGCUUAGUAGGGAUUGCUUCCGAAUGGUAUAUAGACCAAGACAUCACGCGGUGGCACAUAUGGGAUGACCUUGCCCGAGACUUUGUGAAACAAUUCCAGUAAAAUGUUGACAUCGCCCCGGAUAGGAAUUCCCUAGCCAACCUGAAGAAGAAACCCACGGAAAGCUUCAAGGAAUAAGCUAUCAAAUGGCGAGAGCAAGCAUCAAGGGUGAAACCUCAUAUGGAUGAAACGGAAAUAGUCACCGUCUUUUUGCAAGCACAGGAGGCAGACUAUUUUCAGAACAUGAUGUCCGCAAUGGGCAAACCAUUCGCUGAAGCAAUAAAGAUUGGAGAAAUGGUGGAAACUAGCCUCAAAACAGGGAGGAUUCUAAGCCAAUAUGCCAUUAGAGCCACCUCCCAAUCCAUAAAAGGAGGGGUGGGAGGAAUUCCCACGAUGGAAAAUGGACACAAAACAGGGAGGAUUCUAAGCCAAUCUGCCAUCACAGCCACCUCCCAAGCCAUACAAGGAGGGGCGGGAGGGAUUCCUAGGAACAAGAAAAGAUAGGAGGCAUCCAUGGUAGCUUCCGGGGUAAGCAAACAACAUACCCACAGACAUGCAUUAUAUGAUAGAGCUCCUCAACAUUACUAUCCUCACAGAAACAUGCAUUAUGCCCCUCCACCCUACGCAGUUGUGAAUGCUCAGCCUUUUCCCCUCCCUCAACAGCAGAAUAACAGAAAUCAAGCUCCGAGGAAUCAACUCCCGCCUAAUCAGUACAAUCCCCGCCAUAAGAAAAACAACUAUCGUCCCCGGGAGCCACCCCGGAGAAAAAACUUCACCUCAAUCGAAGAAUCUUACGCUAACCUGUUUCCAAAGCUAGUCCAUCUGGGCCUCCUCCAGCCUGUACCCCCAAAUAGACAGAAUCCUGAAUCCCCAUCUUACCAAAGAGGUGUACGAUGUGCCUACCACUCAGGGGCAGAGGGCCACGAUACUGAAAAUUGUUGGACCUUAAAGUGAGCGGUGGAAGACUUGAUUGAUCAAAAGAAAAUAGUUCUCAGAGAUGACGAAGUCCCGAAUGUAACUGACAACCCGUUACUAGCUUGCAACAACGGGCCGGUCAUCAGGAUGAUCUGCGAGGACAAAGAGUUUGAUGACUUGAUUGAUCAAAAGAAAAUAGUUCUCGAAGAUGACGAAGUCCCAAAUGUAACAGACAACCCUAUACCGGGUCACAACAACGGGCCGGUCAUCGGGAUGAUCUGCAAGGACAAAGAGUUUGAUCCCACUCUCAAAGCAAUCAUAGCCAUCGCCGAGGCCGAUAGGAAGCCAAAGGUCAGCCUAAUGAAGGUGGAUGAAAAGAAAAAAAAAUGAAUCCAAAAGCCCUGAAGUAGAGAAGAAGGCUGAGGUCAAAGCUGAGACAACCCCCGCCAAAGAAACAAUACUCUAUAUUCCCCGGGGAAGCAAAGAAAAGCGGCUGCUGAGGUCAAAGCUGAAACCACUCCCGCCAAAGGAACAAUACUCUAUAUUCUCCGGGGAAGCAAAGAAAAGCGGCCCACUUUAAGCCCUCCCAAAAGAUUUGAGCUGAAUAGAGCCCUGAGCAUACCAAAGAAGGCCUAUGUGGUACGAGGAUCAAUUAAGCCACUGGUGCUGAAUGAGCCCGUGGUUAUUUGUCGCAUGCCACAAAAGCCCAUGACCAAUCCUUCAGUUGUUCCCUGAAAUUAUCAGGAAACCAUUGUUACACACAAGGGAAAAGAAGUCCUUGGAGAAACCCCAAAGGGAUGUCCCACGAAGAAAUACUUAAAUGUGGAAGAGGUAAAUGCCGCUACCAAACGUUUAUUCCCGCCAAAGAAGCUAGUGAAUGCUGAGGAAGCAGAAGCCUUUUUCCAGAAAAUGAUGAUGCCAGAGUAUGAAGUGGUACACCAACUCCUGAAAUCCCCAGAAUAGAUUUCUCUAUUGUCACUCUUAAUGAAAUCCCACGAGCAUCAAAAAGUGUUAGCCAAAAUAUAAAACGAAGCUUAUGUGCCAGCUGAGACCUCGGUAGAACAGUUAGAGAAGAUGGCGGAGAGAUUCUUUGCUAUCUAUCAAAUUUCGUUCAGUAAGAAUGACCUACCCUCAUAGGGAGUUGGUCAUAAUAAGGCUUUGCAUCUCACUGUAAAAUGUGAGGGAUAUUAUGUUAAGAGAGUGAUGAUUGAUGGGGCUUCCGGGGUAGACAUAUGUCCUCUAUCCACCUUGCAGAGAAUGGAGAUCGGGACAGGGAGGAUCCAUCCCAACAACGUCUGUGUCCGGGCUUUCGAUGGAAUAAAAAGGGACACCAUUGGUGAAAUCAAUCUGGUGCUCUUCAUUGGUCCAGUAGACUUCGAAGUAACCUUCCAGGUGUUGGACAUGGACACUUCCUACAAGUACCUCCUGGGACGACCGUGGAUUCAUGCAGCAGGGGCAAUGCCUUCAACCUUGCACCAAAUGCUAAAAUAUGAGUAUGAAAAUCAGGAGAUUGUAGUUGAUAGAGAGGACGAGCAAUCAAUUUACCGGGACCCCUCUGUCCCUUGUCUAGAAGCCAAGGAAGGCAGUGAACACAUAGUCUAUCAAGCUUUUGAGGUCGUAGUAACUGACCAGCAUGAAGAGGGCAAGCCGCUUCCUCAGCCUUUUUUGUCAAAUGCUUCAAUUAUGGUAGCAAAGGAAUUGAAGCACCGAGGCUUCAAGCCAGGCAAGGGACUCGGAAGCUCUCUACAAGGCAUAACCGAGCAAGUCGCCUUGCCUGCUACAGAAAAGUUCUUUGGACUGGGAUUUCAUCGAACCUCAGAAGAUAUCACCUGGGUAAUUGCAGAAAGCGCCAAGGAUGGACCUUACCACGACCCCUGCCUCACUUGUACAAAACCUUUAUAAAACCAAAGUAUAGCGAAGAGGAGGAAGAAGAAACUUUCACGCAAGAAGAAAUUGAUGAAAUCUGCGGGGCUAUGAGAGAGUUGCUCUAUGAUGUAAACAUGGUCCAACCAGGGGACGGGUCAAGCGCCACUGAAGUACUGUAUAUGGGGCCAGAUGCCAAACUUCAAAAUUGGAAGGCCACACCCUUUCCGGUCAGGAGGGAGACCCGGUAGUCGCGCCUUGAUACCUCUUCCCACAUCACGAGCUAUUUCAGGGUGUAGCUCGUUGUUUGUUUUCCUAUUAAACAUUUUAAAUCUCAAAAUGUAAACCAUGUUUAUCUCUCAAGUUCAAGGAAAUAAAAUCAAUAUGUUUCAUUUCUCUGCUUUUCUCUGAUUUUUGUCUUUCUUUAUUUUUCAUCUUUUCUUUCAGUCCCAAUAAUGCGGCCUUAAAUAAAACGACAUGCUCGCUGACUUCCUGCCCGACCCAAAUCUGCUGCCUGUCUGUGAAUUAAUGAACCAGGAACCGGAAUACAAUAAAGAAGAGGCUUUUAGGGAAAUCACUCGAGAAUUGGAACAAAUUGAGAACAAACCUAAGUCUAACUUAAAUGAUACUGAAUCGGUUAACCUGGGCGAUCUUGAUGAAAUCAAAGAAACUAAAAUAAGCAUCCACGUAAAUAAAGAGAUACGAGAUUCAUUGGUUCAACUCCUGUUGGAAUUCAAAGAGUAUUUGCGUGGUCCUAUGAUGAUAUGCCCAGCCUGAGUAUGGAUUUGGUGGUUCAUAAGUUGCCUACAUACCCUGAAUGCCCUCCGGUACAAUAAAAGCAAAGAAAAUUCAAGCCUGAUGUUAGUGAUAAAAUCAAAGAGUAGAUUAUAAAACAGCUUGAAGUAGGGGUAAUCCGGGUAGUGCGAUACGCCACAUGGCUGGCUAAUGUGGUCCCAGUGCCGAACAAGGACGGGAAAACCCGGGUGUGUUUGGAUUAUAGAGAUUUGAAUAAGGCGAGUACCAAGUAUAAUUUCCCUCUGCCCAAUAUCCACAUCCUUGUCGAUAAUUGUGCCAAGCAUGAGAUUCAAUCCUUUUUAGACUGCUACGCAGGAUAUCACCAAGUUCUGAUGGAUGAGGAAGAUGCUGAGAAAACCGCCUUCACCACACCUUGGGGAACCUUUUGUUAUAGAGUUAUGCCUUUUGGAAUGAAAAAUGCUGGGGCAACCUACAUGAGGGCUAUGACCACCAUCUUCCACGACAUGAUGCAUACAGAAAUAGAGGUGUACGUGGAUGACGUGAUUAUCAAAUAUAAAACUUAGGGCGAGCAUGUAAAGGAUUUGAGGAAGUUCUUCGAAAGGCUCCGCAAAUAUAAUUUGAAAUUAAAUCCAGCAAAGUGCGCAUUUGGAGUUCCUCCGGGCAAACUUUUGGGGUUCAUCGUCAGUCGGAGAGGCAUUUAAUUGGAUCUAACCAAGAUCAAAUCCAUUCGGGAGCUGCCCCCGUCAAGGACCAAAAAGGAUGUGAUGAGUCUAUUGAGGAGAUUAAAUUACAUCAGCCGGUUCAUUGCUCAAUUGACCUCAACAUGUGAGCCUAUAUUCAAGCUGCAGAAGAAGGAUGCGGAAAUUAAAUGGACGGUCGAGUGUCAGGAAGCUUUUGACAAAAUCAAACAAUACUUGUCCAAUCCACCAGUGUUAGUUCCGCCAGAACCAGGAAGGCCAUUUUUUCUCUACCUGACGGUCUUGGAAGGCUCUUUCGGUUGUAUUCUCUGGCAGCAUGACACCACGGGAAAUAAAGAGCAGGCCAUCUAUUAUCUAAAACCAGGAAAGCCAUUGUUUCUCUACCUGACAGUCUUGGAAGGCUCUUUCGGUUGUAUUCUCGGGAAGCAUGAUGCCACUGGAAAGAGAGAGCAUGCCAUCUAUUAUCUGAGAAAAAAGUUUACUGGCCACGAGGCCAAGUACACAUUGUUAGAGAGAACAUGUUGCGCCUUGACCUGGGUUGCUCAAAAGCUAAGGCAUUAUUUGCAAGCUCAUACCACGUACCUCGUAACCAGGCUGGAUCCACUACAUAUUUCAAAAACCAAAGCCCACAGGGCGACUGGCCAAAUGGCAGAUCCUGCUUACCGAGUUUGACAUUGUCUUUGUCACACGUACGGCGAUGAAAGCUCAGGAACUGGAAGAUCAUCUAGUAGAAAACCCUGUUGAUGACGAGUAUCACCCUUUAAACAUUACUUCUCUGACGAACAUGUGAACUCAUUGGAAGUAGCAGCUGAGGACACUUCCAUCUGGAAAAUAUUCUGCUACAGAGCGGAAACGCCAAGGGUGUAGGGAUAGGAGCUAUCUUAUUCUCACCCACAGGCCAGCAUUAUCCAGCCACGGCCAGACUUCGGUUUUUUAGUACCAAUAAUACAACUGAAUAUGAGGCUUGCAUUAUGGGCAUGAACAUGGCUAUUAACCAAGGUGUUGAACAACUACUAAUCAUGGAGGAUUCCGAUCUAAUCAUCCGACAAGCUCAGGGAGAAUGGGAGACAAGGGACAUUAAUCUCCUCACGUAUAGACAUCAUGUUGAAGACCUCAGCAAGCGGUUCAGGUCGGUACAGUUCAAGUACAUUCCUCGUUUCCACACUGAAUUAGCAGAUGCACUUGCAACCUUAGCCUCCAUACUGCCAUACCCUGGGAAUGCCUAUGUGGAUCAUUUACAAAUCUAAAUCAAAGAAAGACAUGGUUAUUAUAAUGCGGCUGAAGCAGAGCCUAGCCCACAGCCUUGGUAUCACGACAUCUUGAGAUUCCUACAAACGCAGGAGUACCCAGAGCAAGCCACAGGAGAACAAAAGAAGACCAUCCGACAGCAUGGGAGCAAUUUCUUCUUAAGUGGUGACACUCUGUACAAAAGGACUCCAGAUCUUAAUUUGUUGAGAUGUGUGGAUGCCGAAGAAGCUGGGAAAAUUAUGCACGAAGUACAUUCAGGCGUAUGUGGGCCCCAUAUGAAUGGCUAUGUAUUGCGAAGAAGAUACUCCGAGCUGGUUAUUAUUGGAUGACCAUGGAAAAGACUACUUCCGUUUUGUGUGGAAAUGUCAUCAAUGCUAGGGGCACGUCGAUCUGAUUCAUGCACCACCAAAUGAGUUGCAUCCUAUGUCAGCACCCUGGCCAUUUGCCGCCUGGGGAAUGGACGUCAUUGGGCCGAUCGAGCCAAAGACUUCAAAUGCGCACAGAUUUAUAUUGGUCGCCAUUGAUUAUUUCACAAAAUGGGUUGAAGUCAUUACCCUCAAAUCUAUCACUAAGAAAGCGGUAGUAGAUUUCGUGCAUUCCAACAUCAUUUGCCGCUUUGGGAUCCCUGCUGUCAUCAUUACUGACAAUGCAGCUAAUCUAAACAGUCGGCUGAUGGGAGAGAUAUGUGAACAAUUCAAAAUAAGACAUAUAAAUUCCACCCCCUACCGACCCAAGGCUAAUGGUGCAGUCGAAACAACCAACAAGAACAUCAAGAAAAUCUUGAGGAACAUGAUUCAAAGCUCGAGUCAAUGGCACGAAAAGAUGCCUUUCGCAUUGAUGCGAUAUUGUACCACAGUACGUACAUCUGUAGGAGCCACUCCCUACUUACUGGUCUAUGGAACUGAGGCUGUUAUACCUGCCGAGGUAGAAAUCCCUUUGAUCCGAGUGAUUGUAGAAACAUAAAUCGAAGAUAGUGAAUGGGUCAAAACUCGUUUGGAGCAGCUGGCAUUAAUUGAUGAAAAACAAAUGGUUGCAGUAUGCCACGGGCAGUUGUACCGAUAAAGAAUGGCCCGCGCCUACAACAAGAAAGUGUGCCCUAGGAAUUUUGAAGUCGGGCAGCUGGUGUUGAGACGGAUACUUCCACACCAUCAAGAGGCCAAAGGAAAAUUCACUCCAUAUUGGAAAGACCCAUAUAUAAGAAGAUAUUGCCUAGAGGAGCCUUUUACCUGGCCGACGUUGAAGGAGAUGAGCCCUAGGCUACGGUAAACGCAGACGAAGUAAAAAGGUAUUAUAUCUAAAUCCCCUGCAGCAACUACCUUGGUGGAUCGAAAGGACGAAGGUCUCCAAAUUGGAAAGGCCCAUAUAUAAUCAGGAAGAUAUUGCCUAGAUGAGCAUUGUACUUGGGCGACAUUGAAGGAGAUUAGCCCGAGGCAGCGGUAAACGCAGACGCAGUGAAAAGGUAUUAUGUUUAAAUCCCCUGCAAGCAAUUACCCCAGUGGAUCGAAAGUACGAAGGCUUUAUUCUCCCGCCAUCCCCACCCUCUUUGUAACCCAAAAAAAAAGAAAGAGAAAAUUCAAAAAAAAAAAAAGAAGAAGUAAAAAAGAGGAAAAGAAGAUUCAAAAAAAAAAAAAGAAAAGAAAAGAAAAGAAAAUUAAAAAAAGAAGAAGAAAAAAAAAGGAAUACAAAAUAAAAUUAGUUUAAUAUACACUUUCUGAACUACGUCUGACUUGAUUCCGAAAGGAUACGUAGGCAGUCUCUCCUUGAGGUUCACUCACAUCAAAAUGAAACCCCAUUUACCCAAGAAAAUUAAAACUGGGGCAGAAAUGUAUCGGUUCGUUUCGAUCCAAAUGAUUACAAAGUUAUAAAUCCUUGGGGAAGUGAAUACCAUUUGUCGGGGUUCAGCACCAAUCAAAUUUGUGAGAGAAAUAAAUUGAGAGUCUUAUUGGUGAAAAUCUCCAGGCACCAUAAGGCGGCGCUGAGCAGAGAAAUAUAAAAAUGAGAGAGUCUGUUUAGCGAAAACUCGCGAAGAGCGUUAUCGGGUGACGGGAGAAGAGAAAUGAGAGAGGAUGUUUGGUGAAAACCCGCAAAGGGCGCUGUCGGUCGAAAAGAGGAAAUAUUGCUGCCCAGGUCUGAGUAAGUUUCUUUUGAAAGAUUGAAGUCAGAAAGCAGAAAUGGGUGUGGGCCGGGUAUCCAGUCCAAGAAGCAUGUCGUCGUCAUUUAAAGUCGGCUCGUACUUCCAGAUAAGUUCUCUCUUUUCCUUCAAAGGGCAUACCUCUUUAAAUUCAUAUUUCACUCCUCUUCACCUUAACUUCCUCACCAUUCCUUAAAGAAAGGCAGCAAGGCCGGGUUCGCGGUUUUCUCCUAGCAAGAAUUAGGGAAAUGACCGACAUCGUCAAGUACGCUUGGCCAAUCCUAGUUGAUCAUGACAGUUAAUGUCCCAAAAUGAAGAAAUAAAGUAAAGGAAAUUCAAAGUCAAAAGGCAUGAAAUUGAAGCAAAAUCGAGGGGUUUUAAGCCAAACAGGGUGUCGUUUUUUUUAAUCAAAAGUCCCAAAAGCAAAAGCAAAAGCGUGAAAAAACUCAUAACCCAACGCCCGAGAAGCAAAACCCAAUCUGUAAUGAGGACCCCCCGGCCAACUAAGCAAGGAAGGAAAUCCGAGGGUUCCUUUUUGAAUACAAAGGAAGCUGAAAUCAAGCGUCACAAGGCCACAAAAUCAAUCACUGUUCAAACUAACAAUUUGUUUUUGUUUCUGAAUUAAAAUAGAUGCAGGUGCAAUUUAGAAAACAAAAGGAACACGGAGGCAAAAACAACCAAAGGAUAGGCACAAGGUCCGAAGGUGCUGAUGCAUCAAUGACCGAAGGGAAAUUUUCUUUCCAUUUUCUGCAAACUCGUAAAUGAGCAUGACGGCACGAGACUCCAAUCCCUAGUUCCCCAUGUAUAGCUUGUGGACUUCCUAGGAUCUACCUACAUAAGGAUUGCAUGCCACUCCCUCCAUCAUAAAUCUAGGAGAUUUCCAUACACAUCCCCGGCAUAACCUGGAUUCUCUCCCAGCACUUCUCACUCCCCAACAUACUCUUGGAGUUAUUACUCCCCUACCCUUCGCAUAACCUAAGAGUUAUUCCUUUCCUCAUCUGUCCCCAGCGCAGUCAAAAUAUUUUUGAGGUCCUCCCCUGCUCAGCAUAUUCCACUAGCAUAACCCAGGACCUCAUUUUCCUCCCGGCAUAACCCGCGGAUCUCCCUGGCAUAACCCAGGAAUCGUUCUUGCGUCCCGGCAUAACCUGUGGAUUUUUCCUUUCAUCCCCAGUAGGGACUCCUCAUUCUUAUCCCGGCAUAACCCGUGGAUUCCCCGGACAUAACUCAGGACCUCAUUUUCAUCCCGGCAUAACCCGUGGAUUUCCCUGACAUAACUCAAGAUCUCUUUUCAUCCCGGCAUAACCUGUGGAUUUCCCUGACAUAAAUCAGGACCUCAUUUUAAUCCCGCCAUAACCCGUGGAUUCCCCUAGCAUUACCUAGGAUUUUUCAUUCAUCCUGGCGUAACCCGUGGAUUCCCCUGACAUAACUCAGGACCUCAUUUUCACCCCGUCAUAACCCGUGGAUUCCCCUAGCAUAACCUAGGAUUAUUCAUCCCGGCAUAACCCAUGGAUUCCCCUAGCAUAACUUUGGAUUUUUCAUUCAUCCCGGCAUAACCUAUGGAUUCCCCUAGCAUAACCUAGGAUUUUUCAUUCAUCCCGGCAUAACCCGUGGACUCCCCCUAGCAUAACCUAGGAUUUUUCAUUCAUCUCAACAUAACCCGUGGAUUCCCCGAGCAUAACCUAGGAUUUUUCAUUCAUCCCGGCAUAACCCGUGCAUAACCUAGGAUUUUGCUUGCAUCCCGGCAUAAACUGUGGAUCCCCUUAGCAUAACCUAUGAUUUUUCACUCAUCCCGGCAUAACCCGCAGAUUCCCCUAGCAUAACCCAUGAAUAUUUUUCAUAUCCCGGCAUAACCCGCAGAUCUUUCCUUCCUUCCCCACAGGGACCUUUUCAUUCUUAUCCUGGCAUAACCCUGGAAUAUUUUUCAUAUCCCGGCAUAACUCGCAGAUCUUUUCUUUCCUUCCCUACAGAGACUUUUUCAUUAUUAUCCCUGCAUAACUCGAGGAUUCUCAUCUUAUUCCCCAGCAGGAAACGUUUCUCCUCUCCAGCAUAACCUGGUGAUCUUUCCAAGGGAUACACAAUUCCAUUCCUUUUUGUGCUUAAAAGAGCAGUAUAGAUGUGUGUUAUAAAUAACUCACGAAAUUUUCCAGUGAAAAAUGGGGCAGAAAAUUUCGUUUGUUUGUUUGUUUUGCCGUCUAAGCAGGUAUCACCUUAAGGCACAAGAUCUGGCAUGAUUGAAAGCAUGAGUGUCAAUUCAGAGCAGAAGGAAAGAAAAGAGACAAAAGGUGAACUCAAAAUAAUGAGUCGAACAGAGACGCGGACUGCUCAAAAUCAAUGGAAGUCACAAGCUCAGCAUAUCUUGUUUUGUUUCAAGAUUAAAUAUUGAGUUAGCAGCUGCAGUUAACAAGCAUCAAGAUUCGGAUCGGAGUCUGGCGUGAAAGAUAGCCGAGACUCAAGAUCAAGCUUCAAGAGACUCAUAGAUAGGAAUCUUGUAACNNNNNNNNNNNNNNNNNNNNNNNNNNNNNNNNNNNNNNNNNNNNNNNNNNNNNNNNNNNNNNNNNNNNNNNNNNNNNNAACUUGUAGUUGAUAGGUUUAGCUAGCUUGGUUUUUGAUUUUCUUUCGGUGUAAUAAGGAGCUUAGUGAGCAGAAAUAACCAAUCAUAGUCUCUCGGUAGUCCCAGCUACCAAAACUUCCAGAACUACACUAACCUCAUUCCUUUAUUGCCAAGGAUAUGUAGGCAACCUUUGAAGCAAGGUUCGGUCAGGAAUUUUUCAUAAUGCUUCAAUUGGAGUAUUCAAUCGGACGGAAACCACUCGUAUUUGCUCACUUGUCUUUGCACAAAAACCCUUCGUGUUCCCGCGCAAAGAGGGGCAGCUGUGAGCAGAUGAUUUUUGACCGAUCGAAACAAGCUCCUAUAGGACUCUUAAUGUUUAGGAUUUUUCUUUUAAAGGUUAGGAUUUUAAUUUUUAGAAUCUGACUGCAUGUGCAUGUUCAUUACUGAAUGUUUAAAAUGGUUUAAGAUUUAAUUGUCCCCAGCGCUGCAUGUGCAUGUUCAUUAUUGCAUGUUUAAAAUGGUUUAAGAUUUAAUUGUUAAAUAAAUAAAUAUAUAUAUAUAUAUAUAUGCCAGCACUUGAAAUUAUGUUUGUUCAAUUUUGACUUGUUUUAAUUUUAUUUGUGAGUUGUGGUUUUUAAAUAAAAUUAGUAAUUAAUUUCAAUUAAAAGAAUAGACAAAUAAUAAUAAUAAUACAAUAAAUGUAUAUAUAUAGGCAGCCACUCAGGCUAGCCACAAUUGGGCCAGACCUGUGUGGCCCAACCGAUUUCCUCCACUAAAUCAAAUCACAGCCGAAGCCCAAAGGACUAGCCUAAUCCAGAUCCACAACCACUAAACCAAACGACACCGUUUAGGACCCCUCCCAUCACAACCGUUGAUCCCCACAUCAUCCAACGUCCACAGAAGCCUCUUUCAUAUUGUAUACAUAUGUCCAAACACUUUCAAUACAUACACGACCAAACGUUACCUUCCUUGUACCCUUCACCGUUGACCUAACAACACCCAUUGACCACCCUGUCACCGCCUUUGACUACCGGCCUACCACCCUACUGCCGCCGCUGGAAAUCGCCUCACGGCCGCGUCUGCCAAAAAAACUACCCCAAAUUAACACCACUUUACCAGUGUGACCUCCUCUACCCUGUCCCAUGACCAGUUUCCAUCGAAUACAACCCUCCAUCUCAAAUAUCCCCUUAAAGGUGGCCGAAAAUCGUAUCUACGACGACCUCAUUGCAAAGCUGCCCAAAACUACACCACUAAGGCACCUCCCCCUCCCAGUUCCAACCAGGUAUAUUACCCCUCUCAAAUCAUUCUGAAACCCCUCGAAUACUAAUCCGAAGGCCAACCCUAAAUUCCAAAACACGUCGGAAAAACCUCAAAGCCCUCCUAGACAAUCCCUGAUCCCCCUUGACACCAACCAUACCACCCUUGACCCCCAAACACCCUCAACCACUAAACAAAUUCAAAUCUGAGACCUAUUUGAGGUCUCAUAAUCUUGGAAACUCCCCUGAGUUCUUAAAACUAAUGGUACACCACCUUAGAGGGUUCGGAACCCCUGUGGGAGAAUCAAGGUUCAGCUGGGAUGGUUUAAACGAGAGCAUAAAUGAAAGCUAAGUUUUUCUUGCCUAUUUUCCAUUUCUUUAGCUUUGAAUGCUUGAUUUCUUUUAAUGACGGAUUAUUUUCAGUAAUUACAUGUUUAAAAGUUUGGAUUUCUUUCAUUUUUUUAUUUUGGUUGUUUGUCUGUUUAUCCACAAGUUCAUUUAAGAUUAAGGAUUAUUUUCAUUAGUUACAUAUAUAAAAGUUUGGAUUUCUUUCAUUUUUUGAUUUUGGUUGUUUGUGUGUUUAUCCACAAGUUCAUUUAAGAUUAGGAUUCAAUGUUCAUAUGUUUGUUUGUUUGUCACUAGCCUGGAAA
rnacentral:lncRNA from 1 species